GAUGAACGCUGGCGGCGUGCCUAAUACAUGCAAGUCGAGCGAACGGACGAGAAGCUUGCUUCUCUGAUGUUAGAGGCGGAAGGGUGAGUAAAACGUGGAUAACCUACCUAUAAGACUGGGAUAACUUCGGGAAACAGGAGCUAAUACCGGAUAAUAUUUUGAACCGCAUGGUUCAAAAGUGAAAGACGGUCUUGCUGUCACUUAUAGAUGGAUCCGCGCUGCAUUAGCUAGUUGGUAAGGUAACGGCUUACCAAGGCAACGAUGCAUAGCCGACCUGAGAGUGUUAUCUGCCACCCUGUACCUGACACCCGGUCCUGCCUCCUACGGCUGCCCGCAGUUGUGACUCUUCCGCAAUGGGCGAAUGCCUGACGGAGCUGCGCCGCGUGAGUGAUGAAGGUCUUCUAUUCUUAAAACUCUGUUAUUAGCGAAGAUCAUAUGUGUAAGUAACUGUGCACAUCUUGACGGUACCUAAUCAGAGUGCCACGGCUAACUACGUG
rnacentral:rRNA from 1 species